CUCUCCGUACGCACCGGCGGCGUGGGCCGGCCGGCGGCCGGCCCGGUACGCGGGAGCGGCAGCAGCGGCAGUUCGAGUCCGUCCGGGGCGUC
rnacentral:tRNA from 1 species